CAAUAGCCGCGGUAAUACGUAGGUGGCAAGCGUUGUCCGGAAUUAUUGGGCGUAAAGGGCUCGCAGGCGGUUUCUUAAGUCUGAUGUGAAAGCCCCCGGCUCAACCGGGGAGGGUCAUUGGAAACUGGGAAACUUGAGUGCAGAAGAGGAGAGUGGAAUUCCACGUGUAGCGGUGAAAUGCGUAGAGAUGUGGAGGAACACCAGUGGCGAAGGCGACUCUCUGGUCUGUAACUGACGCUGAGGAGCGAAAGCGUGGGGAGCGAACAGGAUUAGAUACCCCAGUAGUCCCUGUCUCUUAUAC
rnacentral:rRNA from 1 species